UACAGAGGUCUCAAGCGUUGUUCGGAUUCAUUGGGCGUAAAGGGUGCGUAGGUGGCGCCGUAAGUCGGGUGUGAAAUUUCGGAGCUUAACUCCGAAACUGCAUUCGAUACUGCGGUGCUUGAGGACUGGAGAGGAGACUGGAAUUCAUGGUGUAGCAGUGAAAUGCGUAGAGAUGCGGAGGAACACCGAUGGCGAAGGCAGCCCCCUGGGCUAGCACUGACGCUCAUGCACGAAAGCGUGGGGAGCAAACAGG
rnacentral:rRNA from 1 species